rnacentral:rRNA from 1 species
GAUGAACGCUGGCGGCGUGCCUAAUACAUGCGAGUCGAGCGAACAGACGAGGAGCUUGCUCCUCUGACGUUAGCGGCGGACGGGUGAGUAACACGUGGAUAACCUACCUAUAAGACUGGGAUAACUUCGGGAAACCGGAGCUAAUACCGCAUAAUAUAUUGAACCGCAUGGUUCAAUAGUGAAAGACGGUUUUGCUGUCACUUAUAGAUGGAUCCGCGCCGCAUUAGCUAGUUGGUAAGGUAACGGCUUACCAAGGCAACGAUGCGUAGCCGACCUGAGAGGGUGAUCGGCCACACUGGAACUGAGACACGGUCCAGACUCCUACGGGAGGCAGCAGUAGGGAAUCUUCCGCAAUGGGCGAAAGCCUGACGGAGCAACGCCGCGUGAGUGAUGAAGGUCUUCGGAUCGUAAAGCUCUGUUAUUAGGGAAGAACAAAUGUGUAAGUAACUAUGCACGUCUUGACGGUACCUAAUCAGAAAGCCACGGCUAACUACGUG